rnacentral:rRNA from 1 species
AGCGAACGCUGGCGGCAGGCCUAACACAUGCAAGUCGAACGAAGUCUUCGGACUUAGUGGCGGACGGGCGAGUAACACGUGGGAACGUGCCUUUAGGUUCGGAAUAACUCAGGGAAACUUGUGCUAAUACCGUAUGUGCCCUUCGGGGGAAAGAUUUAUCGCCUUUAGAGCGGCCCGCGUCUGAUUAGCUAGUUGGUGAGGUAAAGGCUCACCAAGGCUACGAUCAGUAGCUGGUCUGAGAGGAUGACCAGCCACAUUGGGACUGAGACACGGCCCAAACUCCUACGGGAGGCAGCAGUGGGGAAUCUUGCGCAAUGGGCGAAAGCCUGACGCAGCCAUGCCGCGUGGAUGAUGAAGGUCUUAGGAUUGUAAAAUCCUUUCACCGGUGAAGAUAAUGACUGUAGCCGGAGAAGAAGCCCCGGCUAACUUCGUGCCAGCCGCCGCGGUAACAC